rnacentral:rRNA from 1 species
AUUGAACGCUGGCGGCAUGCCUUACACAUGCAAGUCGAACGGCAGCACGGGUGCUUGCACCUGGUGGCGAGUGGCGAACGGGUGAGUAAUACAUCGGAACAUGUCCUGUAGUGGGGGAUAGCCCGGCGAAAGCCGGAUUAAUACCGCAUACGAUCUACGGAUGAAAGCGGGGGACCUUCGGGCCUCGCGCUAUAGGGUUGGCCGAUGGCUGAUUAGCUAGUUGGUGGGGUAAAGGCCUACCAAGGCGACGAUCAGCAGCUGGUCUGAGAGGACGACCAGCCACACUGGGACUGAGACACGGCCCAGACUCCUACGGGAGGCAGCAGUGGGGAAUUUUGGACAAUGGGCGAAAGCCUGAUCCAGCAAUGCCGCGUGUGUGAAGAAGGCCUUCGGGUUGUAAAGCACUUUUGUCCGGAAAGAAAUCCUUGGCUCUAAUACAGUCGGGGGAUGACGGUACCGGAAGAAUAAGCACCGGCUAACUACGUG